rnacentral:rRNA from 1 species
GACGAACGCUGGCGGCGUGCUUAACACAUGCAAGUCGAACGGAAAGGCCCUGCUUUUGUGGGGUGCUCGAGUGGCGAACGGGUGAGUAACACGUGAGUAACCUGCCCUUGACUUUGGGAUAACUUCAGGAAACUGGGGCUAAUACCGGAUAGGAGCUCCUGCUGCAUGGUGGGGGUUGGAAAGUUUCGGCGGUUGGGGAUGGACUCGCGGCUUAUCAGCUUGUUGGUGGGGUAGUGGCUUACCAAGGCUUUGACGGGUAGCCGGCCUGAGCGGGUGACCGGCCACAUUGGGACUGAGAUACGGCCCAGACUCCUACGGGAGGCAGCAGUGGGGAAUAUUGCACAAUGGGCGGGAGCCUGAUGCAGCAACGCCGCGUGCGGGAUGACGGCCUUCGGGUUGUAAACCGCUUUCGCCUGUGACGAAGCGUGAGUGACGGUAAUGGGUAAAGAAGCACCGGCUAACUACGUG